rnacentral:rRNA from 1 species
UACGUAGGGUGCAAGCGUUGUCCGGAAUUAUUGGGCGUAAAGAGCUCGUAGGCGGUUUGUCACGUCUGCUGUGAAAUCCCGAGGCUCAACCUCGGGCCUGCAGUGGGUACGGGCAGACUGGAGUACGGUAGGGGCAGAGGGAAUUUCCGGUGGAGCGGUGAAAUGCAUUGAGAUCGGAAAAGAACACCAACGGCGAAAGCACUCUGCUGGGCCGACACUGACACUGAGAGACGAAAGCUAGGGGAGCAAAUGGG